GCCCGGGUGGCGAAACUGGUAACCGCGCCACCUUGAGGUGGUGGUGCUGAAAGGCUUGGAGGUUCGAGUCCUCUCCCGGGCA
rnacentral:tRNA from 1 species